AACGAACGCUGGCGGCGUGCCUAAUACAUGCAAGUCGAGCGAAUCAAAGGGAGCUUGCUCCCUGAGGUUAGCGGCGGACGGGUGAGUAACACGUGGGCAACCUGCCUAUAAGACUGGGAUAACUUCGGGAAACCGGAGCUAAUACCGGAUAAUUCAUAUCUACUCAUGUAGAUAUGCUGAAAGACGGUUUACGCUGUCACUUAUAGAUGGGCCCGCGGCGCAUUAGCUAGUUGGUGAGGUAACGGCUCACCAAGGCGACGAUGCGUAGCCGACCUGAGAGGGUGAUCGGCCACACUGGGACUGAGACACGGCCCAGACUCCUACGGGAGGCAGCAGUAGGGAAUCUUCCGCAAUGGACGAAAGUCUGACGGAGCAACGCCGCGUGAGUGAUGAAGGUUUUCGGAUCGUAAAACUCUGUUGUUAGGGAAGAACAAGUACUAGAGUAACUGCUAGUACCUUGACGGUACCUAACCAGAAAGCCACGGCUAACUACGUGCCAGCCGCCGCCGUAA
rnacentral:rRNA from 1 species